rnacentral:rRNA from 1 species
AUGAACACAUGUGAUAUCUGUGGAUCAGCAGUGGAAAAUGAACAUCAUGCAGUCAUUUCGUGUACAAAAAGCAGAGCUCUUCGGCAUGAGAUGCGAGCACACUGGAAGCUGCCGAAGGAGAGGGCUUUCUAGUACACUGGCAAAGAUUGGAUUCAGAACUUGCUUUGUGCCUGCAAUGAGGACUUGCGCUGUAAAAUCCUGCUACUGCUGUGGAGAUCAUGGUUCCUUCGGGAUAAUAUUGUGCAUGGGAAUGGCACCGAAGCCAUCUCGAGAUCAGUGGGAUUCCUAAUCAAGUAUGAGCAGGAAAUUAAAGCUGCAUACGACAAGUCCAACACAGUCGACAACAUCUGCUGUCAAAGCCUUUUUGAGGGACAGAACCAAUCAGUGCCGGGCCCAACUGGUCAUAAAUGGAUCCCGCCGCCGGCCGGAGUGGCGAAACUGAACACUGACGCGGGCUUUGAUACGACCUUAGGAAUGAGUACCGCAGGUGCCAUUGCCAGAAAUGACAAGGGGCUGGUUUUUCUGUCGAUGGGACGCAAGCUGGGACUGUGUGAGUCAGUAGAAGAAGCAGAAAGCCUGGCGCUACUGCAUGGUGUACAGGAAUUGGCCAGAUACUAUAAUGGAGCGGUCCAGGUUGAGAUAGACAACAAAACGCUGAACACACUGCUGGCCCCGGGAUCCACAAACACAUCCCGCCUGUUCCCAAUCAUUGUCGACAUCAGUGCGCUUUUGAAAACUUCAAUUCAUACACUGUCAAAUGGAUCAAAAGGGAACAAAACAGGAUGGCGGAUUGCCUAG